CUCGCUUCUCUGGCUUUUUGAGUAGGAUCAAGUAUAGUAUCUGUUCUUCUCAGUUUCUCAUCUGAUACGUCCCAUAUCCGGGGACCUUAUAUUAGAUGGAUUUUGGAUAACGGGGGCCGAUUCCUAAGCCUGCUUCUGUCACCUUCUGUGCGUGACUGAUAGGGCAGUUUCUGCAGGUUCAGCGCAUCCCAA